UACGAAGGGGGCUAGCGUUGCUCGGAAUCACUGGGCGUAAAGCGCACGUAGGCGGAUCUUUAAGUCAGGGGUGAAAUCCCAAGGCUCAACCUUGGAACUGCCUUUGAUACUGGGGAUCUCGAGUCCGGAAGAGGUUGGUGGAACUGCGAGUGUAGAGGUGAAAUUCGUAGAUAUUCGCAAGAACACCAGUGGCGAAGGCGGCUCACUGGCCCGAUACUGACGCUGAGGCACGAAAGCGUGGGGAGCAAACAGG
rnacentral:rRNA from 1 species